AUAUGCGCACGCACACACCACGAUAAGACUCGAAAGAGGGUCAACUAUGCCUGCAUAGGUUAAAACCAGAGGAAACGCUGGUGGAGGACCAUAUCGAUUAGGAAGUGCAAAUUGAUCGUCAAACGUGAGUAUAGGCAAAAACACUAAUCGAACCAUCUAGUGGCUGGUUCCCCCCGAAUUUUCCCCAAGAUAGCUGGCACUCAUUUGUAUGAUCAGUUUUAUCCGGGAAAUCGAAUGAUUAGAGGUAAUGGGAUUGAGACGAGCUCAGCCUAUCCUCGAAUUUUAAAUGGGGGUAGAUGCCCAGCUCGUUUUAUAGGAAUCGGGCGCUUACGUGCCAAGUGAGCCAUGUUGGUGAGCAGAACUGGCAAUUUGUGAUGAAUCAAAGGCAGCGAGGGGCUAAUAUGAGAAGUCUUAAGUAAUAUAUCUAACUGAAGUUCAGA
rnacentral:ncRNA from 1 species